GACGAACGCUGGCGGCGUGCUUAACACAUGCAAGUCGAACGGAAAGGCCCUGCUUUUGUGGGGUGCUCGAGUGGCGAACGGGUGAGUAACACGUGAGUAACCUGCCCUUGACUUUGGGAUAACUUCAGGAAACUGGGGCUAAUACCGGAUAGGAGCUCCUGCUGCAUGGUGGGGGUUGGAAAGUUUCGGCGGUUGGGGAUGGACUCGCGGCUUAUCAGCUUGUUGGUGGGGUAGUGGCUUACCAAGGCUUUGACGGGUAGCCGGCCUGAGAGGGUGACCGGCCACAUUGGGACUGAGAUACGGCCCAGACUCCUACGGGAGGCAGCAGUGGGGAAUAUUGCACAAUGGGCGGAAGCCUGAUGCAGCAACACCGCGUGCGGGAUGACGGCCUUCGGGUUGUAAACCGCCUUCGCCUGUGACGAAGCGUGAGUGACGGUAAUGGGUAAAGAAGCACCGGCUAACUACGUG
rnacentral:rRNA from 1 species